rnacentral:rRNA from 1 species
GCCUAAAGCGUCCGUAGCCGGCUCUGUAAGUUUUCGGUUAAAUCCAUAUGCUCAACAUAUGGGCCGCCGGGAAUACUGCAUAGCUAGGGAGUGGGAGAGGUAGACGGUACUCCGUAGGAAGGGGUAAAAUCCUUUGAUCUAUGGAUGACCACCUGUGGCGAAGGCGGUCUACCAGAACACGUUCGACGGUGAGGGAUGAAAGCUGGGGGAGCAAACCGGAUUAGAUACCCGGGUAGUCCCAGCUGUAAACGAUGCAAACUCAGUGAUGCAUUGGCUUGUGGCCAGUGCAGUGCCGCAGAGAAGUCGUUAAGUUUGCCGCCUGGGAAGUACGUACGCAAGUAUGAAACUUAAAGGAAUUGGCGGGGGAGCACCACAAGGGGUGAAGCCUGCGGUUCAAUUGGAGUCAACGCCAGAAAUCUUACCCGGAGAGACAGCAGAAUGAAGGUCAAGUUGAAGCCUUUACCAGACAAGCUGAGAAGUGGUGCAUGGCCGUCGCCAGCCCGUGCCGUGAGGUGUCCUGUUAAGUCAGGUAACGAGCGAGAUCCUUGCCUCUAGUUGCUACCAUUACUCUCAGGAGUAGUGGAGCGAAUUAGCGGGACUGCUGUAGUUAAUACGGAGGAAGGAGAGGGCCACGGCAGGUCAGUAUGCCCCGAA